rnacentral:tRNA from 1 species
GCCCCUGUGACGCAAUUGGCAGACGUAUCCCGCUUAAACCGGGACAGAUGCAGGUUCGACUCCUGUCAGGGGUA